UUGACGGAGAGUUUGAUCCUGGCUCAGGACGAACGCUGGCGGCGUGCUUAAUACAUGCAAGUCGAACGAUCCCGGGACUUCGGUCCCAAUGGGAGAGUGGC
rnacentral:rRNA from 1 species